rnacentral:rRNA from 1 species
CCUACGGGAGGCAGCAGUGGGGGAUAUUGCACAAUGGGGGCAACCCUGAUGCAGCAACGCCGCGUGAGUGAAGAAGGGUCUCGGCAUGUAAAGCUCUGUCCGCAGGGAAGAAAAUGACGGUACUUGAAGAGGAAUCACCGACUAACUACGAGCCGGCAGCCGCGGUAAUACGGAGGGGGCAGCCGUUAUCCGGAUGUACUGGGUGUAAAGGGGGCGGAGGCGGGGGUGCAAGUCAGGAGUGAAAGCCCGGGGCUCAACCCCGGGACUGCUGUUGAAACUGCGAGGCUGGAGUGCAGGAGGGGCAAGCGGAAUUCCGGGUGUAGCGGUGAAAUGCGUAGAUAUCAGGAGGAACACCGGUGGCGAAGGCGGCCUGCUGGACAGUAACUGACGCUGAGGCCCGAAAGCGUGGGGAGCAAACAGGAUUAGAUACCCGGGUAGUC